GGGCCUGCCCUGGAGCAUGCGUAUGCUGGAGGACGGGAAGAAGUUCGACUCCUCUCGUGACAGGAACAAGCCAUUCAAGUUCGUGAUGGGCAAGCAGGAGGUGAUCCGCGGCUGGGAAGAAGGGGUCGCCCAGAUGAGCGUGGGCCAGCGAGCGAAGAUGACCAUCUCUCCGGACUACGCCUACGGCUCCACCGGCCACCCCGGCAUCAUCCCGCCCAACGCCACCCUAAUCUUUGACGUGGAGCUUAUGAAAUUGGAAUGACAGGAGGCGCCCAGCCCCCGCUCCCUGUCCUUGGGUUUGGCACAUGGAGGAAUCCAGAAUCUCAGCUUCAAGAAGAAUGCACAUGACUUUAUAUCUGUUGUGUAUGACAAAGAGAUUGCCGCUGCCGUUGCAAAAGCCAUAGCAGAGCGAGGAGCUGUCAAGGGCUGACUGACUCUGGGGAGCAAAGGGGUCCUUGGCUGGCGGUGUUACUUCCCUGCCUGGGACUGAGACACGGGAACAAGUAGCUUCCCGCUCCCUUCCCGGCAGGGUGGUGCCACCACGCCAGCACUUCCCCCUUGGCGGUGCCCAGAGCGGGCAGUAUCCUGCCCCCUUUGCUGCCUGCUGCCUUUACCAGCAUGUGGUUGUUUUCCUUCCCCCGCUUCCUCCUCCUGGAUUUUGAGGGUCUCUUUUCCUUUCGCCAUCCGUGCUCCACCACUACAUAGGCUGCAGCAUCGCAAGGGGCCUUUUGUACGUGGACGGAAGGGGCUGUUUCCUGGGGGGGCACCGAUAGGAACGAGCCCGCGGCAGAAAGCUGGCGCCCCCGCCGUCGCCGGGAUGACGAGACCCCAGCGCUCCCGCGCCAAACCUGAUGCUGGUCAUCACCGCAUGCCGCGGCCUCCCGUUCGGUGCACGGCUCCACCUCCGCUGGCGUCACUUCGGCUCCCUUCCCUUCCCUCUGCCCCGCAUCGUGAUAUGGUAAGAGGAAUGGCUGCCAUCGCUUCCUCCUCCACCGCCACAUCAGAGUAUUGAGUUUUAUGAUUGCAAUAAAAGUGCUUUAUGCUGGCUUUUCUCAA